GGGAGACCUCCACUGUAUUGUUCGCUGUUCAUAGUGACAGUUUGGUUUGGUUGGCCCUUUUCCGACCUCAAUUUGUUCCUCUGGGCAUGGAUUAAUACUGGAUAAUGCUUGGUUCACAGAGCUGAAGGACUUGAUGGAAAUCGAAGAAUUUGCUUUGUCUCUGGUCGAGUUAUCAAAGAAGAAUAUCUAGCCCGUUUGCUUUCAAUGUGAACUAAUCGGUUGCCCAGAUGCGGGCAGACUAGAGAUUGAUAGAAGUUGUGUUGGAAUCAGAACAAGGGCUGGGAAGUUUUGGUUUGUUCGGACUAUGUAACAUAAAGUUUGAUGCAGGAAAGUAUGGAUGUACAACGAAGGUGUUGGGUUUGAAAUUUAUGUCGUCAAGG